rnacentral:tRNA from 1 species
CUGCCCGCCGGUCCCACCGGCGGUGUCUGGUCGGCCUUCGACGCCGACGACCUCAUCCGGUUCGAGGCCGGCGGCUGGGCC